UUGGACAAUGGGCGAAAGCCUGAUCCAGCAACGCCGCGUGAGGGAUGACGGCCUUCGGGUUGUAAACCUCUUUCAGUAGGGACGAAGCUAACGUGACGGUACCUACAGAAGAAGCACCGGCCAACUACGUGCCAGCAGCCGCGGUAAUACGUAGGGUGCGAGCGUUGUCCGGAAUUAUUGGGCGUAAAGGGCUCGUAGGCGGUUUGUCACGUCGGGAGUGAAAACUCGGGGCUUAAACUCCGAGCCUGCUUCCGAUACGGGCUGACUAGAGGUAUGCAGGGGAGAACGGAAUUCCUGGUGUAGCGGUGAAAUGCGCAGAUAUCAGGAGGAACACCGGUGGCGAAGGCGGUUCUCUGAGCAUUACCUGACGCUGAGGAGCGAAAGUGUGGGGAGCGAACAGGAUUAGAUACCCUGGUAGUCCACACCGUAAACGUUGGGCGCUAGGUGUGGGACUCAUUCCACGAGUUCCGUGCCGCAGCUAACGCAUUAAGCGCCCCGCCUGGGGAGUACGGCCGCAAGGCUA
rnacentral:rRNA from 1 species